CUUAUUUUUUCCAAACCUGUAACAUACCGAGGAACGUUCAUACUGCAAAUUGGUUUUCCAUGGCUGCUUCUUCCCUUAUCUUCAACAGUUCACUAUCCUUUAACUUCUCCCACACUGUCAUAUCCUUCAAACCUCAAAACCUCGAGCCACAAUUUUCCAUUUCUUCUGCGAUCUCACUUUGCCAUCUUCCCCUGUCUUUGGUUUCCUUCCAAGACACUCAAAACCCCAUACAGGAUGAAACCCUGAAAAAAACAGAGCCAAAUGCCUCACUCUUCAACCAUUCAGCGAGACUCUUUGUGGGAAACUUGCCUUAUUCGUUGCCCUCUUCUCAGUUGGCUCAGCGGUUUGGAGAGGCUGGCAAUGUUGUAUCUGUUGAGAUUGUGUAUGAUGACAUUACGGAUAGAAGUAGAGGGUUUGCGUUUGUUACAAUGGGGAGCGUGGAGGAAGCUGAAUGUGCAAUUCGAAUGUUUGAUGGCUCUGAAAUUGGAGGUAGGAUUAUUAAGGUAAACGUCGCAGAAAUACCCAGAAAAGGAAAAUGGAGAGUAAUGGGUUCAAACUAUAGAGGCUUUGUAGACAGCCCUCACAAGAUUUAUGCUGGAAACCUUGGUUGGGGUGUGACUUCACAGUGUCUUAGAGAUGCCUUUGUUGAGCUGCCAGGCUUCCUAAGUGCCAAAGUCAUCUAUGAAAGGAACAGUGGGAAGUCUCAGGGAUAUGGGUUUGUCUCUUUUCGAACUGCUGAGGAUGUAGAGGCUGCUUUGAAUUCUAUGUAUGGAGUGGAAGUUCAAGGCAGGCCCUUACGACUGAAUCUAGCUGCAGGAUAAGGGGACUUUAUCUCCUCCCAUAAUUCAUCAAAAUACAAGUAAUGUUGAUAGCAUGGAAAUGGUGUUUAGGGUCAGCAUCUGAGAUGUUCCUUCUUUCAAGCUUCCUCUGUUGACAAGGA